rnacentral:rRNA from 1 species
UACAGAGGGUGCGAGCGUUGUCCGGAAUCACUGGGCGUAAAGGGCGCGUAGGUGGCGACCCAAGUCGAUGGUGAAAGCUCGCCGCUCAACGGCGAGUCGGCCACCGAUACUGGGUUGCUCGAGCACUGUAGAGGCUCAUGGAAUUCCGGGUGUAGUGGUGGAAUGCGUAGAGAUCCGGAGGAACACCAGCGGCGAAGGCGGCAUCCUGGACUGGUCCUGACACUCAUGAGCGAAAGCGUGGGGAGCGAUCCGG